GUGCGUAGGUGGUUUCUUAAGUCAGAGGUGAAAGGCUACGGCUCAACCGUAGUAAGCCUUUGAAACUGAGAAACUUGAGUGCAGGAGAGGAGAGUAGAAUUCCUAGUGUAGCGGUGAAAUGCGUAGAUAUUAGGAGGAAUACCAGUUGCGAAGGCGGCUCUCUGGACUGUAACUGACACUGAGGCACGAAAGCGUGGGGAGCAAACA
rnacentral:rRNA from 1 species